UGGGCUCUAGGGGGUGUUGCAGUGUGAGGCUUGUCCCGGGUGCAGGAGGAGCAGCAGUCUUGCUCCCCACAGAGCUCUGAGGAGCCUGAACCAAGAGCUUGCUCAACAGAGAGGAGACACAGCUGCCAGGAAGCACCAGGUUCCCUGAAGAAGGGCCAUCUGUAAAAACACUGUGCUGACACAGAGGUGCUGCUCCCUCUUGAGAGCCCAGUCUCUGGGCUGGGGCAGUAUCUCCAGCUGAGGUGGGCUGGAAAGGAGCCCCCAGACAGCUAGGCUUAAGCCAUGGCCUCUGCACAUAUCUCAACGCUUGCAAUUCUCUUCACACUGAGUGGCCUGAGAGCUCAGUCGGUGACUCAGCCGGAAGAUCAGGUCACUGUGGCCGAAGGGGAUCCACUCACUGUGAAGUGCACAUAUUCAUUUUCUGGGAGCCCUUAUCUCUUUUGGUACUUUGAGCCUUGCUAAGACCACCCAGCUCGCCUUCAUUGACACAUAUGAAGGACAAGAGGUGAACAUACCCUGUAACCACAGCAACAUUGCUACGGAUGAGUACAUCUUCUGGUACCGACAGUUCCCCAGCAAGGGACCACAAUUUUUUAUUCAAGGAUUUAAGAAAAACGUGACAAAUGAAGUGGCAUCUCUGUCCAUCCCCGCCGACAGGAAGUCCAGCACCCUGAGUCUGCCCCAGGCUGCCCUGAGAGACUCUGCUGUGUACUACUGCAUCGGAUGAGGAGCCUGCUGAAGGUGGAGCAGAGUGCUGAGUCACUGAAUGUUCAGGACAGAGCCAGCUCUUCUCUCAACUGCACUUAAGAAGACCACUGUUUCCAGUACUUCAUGGGGUACAGAUAGUGUCCUGGAAAAAGCCUAGGGUUUCUGAUUCCCAGACUCUCAAAUGGAGAAAAUGAGGAAAGGAGAUUCACAGCAUCUGAACAAAGACAAGAUAUACACCUCCCUGAACAUCACAGAUUUGAAGCCUGGAGAUUCAGACACCCUCAUCUGUGUAGCAAGUUCACAGUGAUCCCCAAGUCCUU